AUUGGAUUUGAAAAGUACAGUGUUGCCACUUCAGAAGGUAUAACAAGUUAUAUCAUUAUUAGUUUUUUUUUAUCAAUAUUUUAUUUUUAUUUAUUUAAAUUGCCAAACUGUUUCUAAGUAAACCUAUCAAAAUACGCCGUGGUGUUGUGGACAAAGUUUGGUGAGAUUCCAUUUUGGAUCUCAUGGCGGUUAACAUAUUAAUCCGAAUUGCCAUUUGCCGUUAACGAUGAGUGACCACAGCAGAAAAACGUGUGUGUACUACUUGUACAGUAAGCUGUACUUGUUAUUGGAAAUUUUAAAUUAUCCAUUAGUUUUCCAGUCUCUUAAUAGUUACUAUCUUCAAACAGUUCUAACAAUCUUUUUAUUGUGAGAAUAUCAUCCGGGAUGUUUGAUUUCUGGCAGGAAAUCUUUGUUUAUGACUGUAUGUUUACUAAACUAUGAAGUAAACGUUUUCAAACCUGGCGAUCGCCAGCUAACCAUACUACCUCGGUUCUGUUCAGACUUAGGUUGACUGUCAACUGUUGACAGUUUUGUCUCAGUCACAUGAGCAUUCAUUUCUAUUUUAGAAUUAUUAGAAUCUGAAAAAUUAUUUAGAUGUGCAUGGAAGUAGGCCAGCAUGAUGGAAUGUCAUAUGCCUUCAUCGGUAUCGAUCGUUUCCUGUCGCUUGUACAACAUCGAGCCUGUUAUGAUAA